rnacentral:tRNA from 1 species
AAGGAGUUAUCCAAGCGGUUAAGGAUUGCAUUUAAACUACAAUAUACAGAGGUUCAAAUCCUCUACUCUUUA